CUCCCGGAGGUGGACCCCCGGAUGGGAAGAGACUGGGGAGACAGGUGGGGAGCGAAAGAUGGUGCUGGGACCCUGCCGGUGUUCUCUGACCUCUGAGAGUCACAGCUCAAGGUCCAAUUCCUCUGUGCAAAGUUUUCUCACUUUGCUUACUUUGUUUGCUACUAAUUGAUCGGUGCGGAUCUCCUCCUCUGUGAAAUCUGUAGAAAUCUGACUUGUGACUUGGCCCACCGUGCCAAAGUGGCCUGGAUUGACUGCAGUGACAGGCUCCUCCAUUUUCUCCCCUGACACGGAAGAAUACUGAAAAGCUUUGUCUGUGGGGAGAGGGGGAUCCAUGCUGGGUCUGAGGAUGUGGCUCAGAUGGUGGAGCGUUUGUCUAGCAUGCACAACGCCUGAGUUCAGCCGCCAGAAUCACAUAAACAGCACUGCAGGCUGUUACUCCCAGCCCUCCCGAGGUGGAAACCAGAGGAUCAGAAGUCAAAGAUCAUCUUCAGCUACAUAGCUCCUUUGAGACCAGACUUUGAUCUCUGUGACACAAAAAAAAAAAAAAAAAAAAAAAAAAAAC